rnacentral:rRNA from 1 species
GGUUAAGCGACUAAGCGUACACGGUGGAUGCCCUGGCAGUCAGAGGCGAUGAAGGACGUGCUAAUCUGCGAUAAGCGUCGGUAAGGUGAUAUGAACCGUUAUAACCGGCGAUUUCCGAAUGGGGAAACCCAGUGUGAUUCGUCACACUAUCAUUACGUGAAUACAUAGCGUAAUGAAGCGAACCGGGGGAACUGAAACAUCUAAGUACCCCGAGGAAAAGAAAUCAACCGAGAUUCCCCCAGUAGCGGCGAGCGAACGGGGAGCAGCCCAGAGUCUGAAUCAGCUUGUGUGUUAGUGGAACGGUCUGGAAAGUCCGACGGUACAGGGUGAUAGUCCCGUACACCAAAAUGCACAGGUUGUGAACUCGAAGAGUAGGGCGGGACACGUGGUAUCCUGUCUGAAUAUGGGGGGACCAUCCUCCAAGGCUAAAUACUCCUGACUGACCGAUAGUGAACCAGUACCGUGAGGGAAAGGCGAAAAGAACCCCGGCGAGGGGAGUGAAAAAGAACCUGAAACCGUGUACGUACAAGCAGUGGGAGCCUCUUUAUGGGGUGACUGCGUACCUUUUGUAUAAUGGGUCAGCGACUUAUAUUCUGUAGCAAGGUUAACCGUAUAGGGGAGCCGAAGGGAAACCGAGUCUUAACUGGGCGUUAAGUUGCAGGGUAUAGACCCGAAACCCGGUGAUCUAGCCAUGGGCAGGUUGAAGGUUGGGUAACACUAACUGGAGGACCGAACCGACUAAUGUUGAAAAAUUAGCGGAUGACUUGUGGCUGGGGGUGAAAGGCCAAUCAAACCGGGAGAUAGCUGGUUCUCCCCGAAAGCUAUUUAGGUAGCGCCUCGUGAACUCAUCUUCGGGGGUAGAGCACUGUUUCGGCUAGGGGGUCAUCCCGACUUACCAACCCGAUGCAAACUGCGAAUACCGAAGAAUGUUAUCACGGGAGACACACGGCGGGUGCUAACGUCCGUCGUGAAGAGGGAAACAACCCAGACCGCCAGCUAAGGUCCCAAAGUCAUGGUUAAGUGGGAAACGAUGUGGGAAGGCACAGACAGCCAGGAUGUUGGCUUAGAAGCAGCCAUCAUUUAAAGAAAGCGUAAUAGCUCACUGGUCGAGUCGGCCUGCGCGGAAGAUGUAACGGGGCUAAACCAUGCACCGAAGCUGCGGCAGCGACACUAUGUGUUGUUGGGUAGGGGAGCGUUCUGUAAGCCGUUGAAGGUGGCCUGUGAGGGUUGCUGGAGGUAUCAGAAGUGCGAAUGCUGACAUAAGUAACGAUAAUGCGGGUGAAAAACCCGCACGCCGGAAGACCAAGGGUUCCUGUCCAACGUUAAUCGGGGCAGGGUGAGUCGACCCCUAAGGCGAGGCCGAAAGGCGUAGUCGAUGGGAAACAGGUUAAUAUUCCUGUACUUGGUGUUACUGCGAAGGGGGGACGGAGAAGGCUAUGUUAGCCGGGCGACGGUUGUCCCGGUUUAAGCAUGUAGGCGGAGGUUCCAGGUAAAUCCGGUACCUUUUAACGCUGAGGUGUGAUGACGAGGCACUACGGUGCUGAAGUAACAAAUGCCCUGCUUCCAGGAAAAGCCUCUAAGCAUCAGGUAACACGAAAUCGUACCCCAAACCGACACAGGUGGUCAGGUAGAGAAUACCAAGGCGCUUGAGAGAACUCGGGUGAAGGAACUAGGCAAAAUGGUGCCGUAACUUCGGGAGAAGGCACGCUGAUAUGUAGGUGAAGCGGUUUACCCGUGGAGCUGAAAUCAGUCGAAGAUACCAGCUGGCUGCAACUGUUUAUUAAAAACACAGCACUGUGCAAACACGAAAGUGGACGUAUACGGUGUGACGCCUGCCCGGUGCCGGAAGGUUAAUUGAUGGGGUUAUCCGUAAGGAGAAGCUCUUGAUCGAAGCCCCGGUAAACGGCGGCCGUAACUAUAACGGUCCUAAGGUAGCGAAAUUCCUUGUCGGGUAAGUUCCGACCUGCACGAAUGGCGUAAUGAUGGCCAGGCUGUCUCCACCCGAGACUCAGUGAAAUUGAACUCGCUGUGAAGAUGCAGUGUACCCGCGGCAAGACGGAAAGACCCCGUGAACCUUUACUAUAGCUUGACACUGAACACUGGUCCUUGAUGUGUAGGAUAGGUGGGAGGCUUUGAAGUGUGGACGCCAGUCUGCAUGGAGCCAUCCUUGAAAUACCACCCUUUAAUGGCUGGUGUUCUAACGUGGACCCGUAAUCCGGGUUGCGGACAGUGUCUGGUGGGUAGUUUGACUGGGGCGGUCUCCUCCUAAAGAGUAACGGAGGAGCACGAAGGUUAGCUAAUCCUGGUCGGACAUCAGGAGGUUAGUGCAAAGGCAUAAGCUAGCUUGACUGCGAGAGUGACGGCUCGAGCAGGUGCGAAAGCAGGUCUUAGUGAUCCGGUGGUUCUGAAUGGAAGGGCCAUCGCUCAACGGAUAAAAGGUACUCCGGGGAUAACAGGCUGAUACCGCCCAAGAGUUCAUAUCGACGGCGGUGUUUGGCACCUCGAUGUCGGCUCAUCACAUCCUGGGGCUGAAGUAGGUCCCAAGGGUAUGGCUGUUCGCCAUUUAAAGUGGUACGCGAGCUGGGUUUAGAACGUCGUGAGACAGUUCGGUCCCUAUCUGCCGUGGGCGCUGGAGAAUUGAGGGGGGCUGCUCCUAGUACGAGAGGACCGGAGUGGACGCAUCACUGGUGUUCGGGUUGUCAUGCCAAUGGCAUUGCCCGGUAGCUAAAUGCGGAAGAGAUAAGUGCUGAAAGCAUCUAAGCACGAAACUUGCCCCGAGAUGAGUUCUCCCUGAGACUAUAAGUCUCCUGAAGGAACGUUGAAGACGACGACGUUGAUAGGUCGGGUGUGUAAGUGUAGCGAUACAUUGAGCUAACCGAUACUAAUGAACCGUGAGGCUUAACCUU